GCCUGGGUGGCUCAGUCGGUUAAGCGUCUGACUUCAGCUCAGGUCAUGAUCUCGCGGUUCGUGGUUUCGAGCCCCAUGUCAGGCC
rnacentral:tRNA from 1 species